rnacentral:tRNA from 1 species
UGGCUCAAACGGUAAAGUGUCUGCCUACAAUGCAGGAGACCAGGGUUCGAUCCCUG